rnacentral:rRNA from 1 species
CCGGCUGCGGGGGCGCGGCGCACGGCUCAGUAACACGUAGUCAACCUGCCCUGGAGACGCGGAUAAUCCCGGGAAACUGGGGCUAAUCCGCGAUAGGCCUAGGGUGCUGGAAGGCCCCUAGGCCUAAAGGGACAGACGGGCAUGCUCCGUCUGUCCGCUCCAGGAUGGGACUGCGGCCGAUCAGGUUGUUGGUGGGGUAAUGGCCCACCAAGCCUAUAACCGGUACGGGCUCUGAGAGGAGGAGCCCGGAGAUGGGCACUGAGACAAGGGCCCAGGCCCUACGGGGCGCAGCAGGCGCGAAACCUCCACAAUGCGCGAAGGCGCGAUGGGGUCACUCCGAGUGCCGCCCGCUGAGGGUGGCUUUUCCCGGGUCUAAAAAGCCCGGGGGAAUAAGGGGAGGGCAAGCCUGGUGUCAGCCGCCGCGGUAAUACCAGCUCCCCGAGUGGUCGGGACGAUUAUUGGGCCUAAAGCAUCCGUAGCCGGCCCGGUAGGUCUCCUGUUAAAUCCAAUGGCUCAACCAUUGGGCCGCAGGAGAUACCGCCGGGCUAGGGGGCGGGAGAGGCGGACGGUAUUCCGUGGGUAGGGGUAAAAUCCUCUGAUCCGCGGAGGACCACCAGUGGCGAAGGCGGUCCGCCAGAACGCGCCCGACGGUGAGGGAUGAAAGCUGGGGGAGCGAACCGGAUUAGAUACCCGGGUAGUCCCAGCUGUAAACGAUGCGGGCUAGGUGCUGGAAGGGCUACGGGCCCUUCCAGUGCCGCAGGGAAGCCGUUAAGCCCGCCGCCUGGGGAGUACGGCCGCAAGGCUGAAACUUAAAGGAAUUGGCGGGGGAGCACCACAAGGGGUGAAGCCUGCGGUUUAAUUGGAGUCAACGCCGGGAACCUUACCCGGGGUGACAGCAGGAUGAAGGUCAAGCUAAAGACUUUACCAGACGAGCUGAGAGGAGGUGCAUGGCCGUCGCCAGCUCGUGCCGUGGGGUGUCCUGUUAAGUCAGGCAACGAGCGAGACCCCCACCGCUAGUUGCUAUCACCUCCCGAAAGGGAGGUGAGGCUAAUUAGCGGGACUGCCACCGCUAAGGUGGAGGAAGGAGGGGGCCACGGCAGGUCAGUAUGCCCCGAAACCCCGGGGCCACACGCGGGCUGCAAUGGUAGGGACAAUGGGAGCCGACCCCGAAAGGGGGAGGAAAUCCCCAAACCCUACCCCAGUUAUGACUGAGGGCUGCAACCCGCCCUCACGAAUCUGGAAUCCCUAG